CCUACGGGAGGCAGCAGUGAGGAAUAUUGGUCAAUGGACGCAAGUCUGAACCAGCCAUGCCGCGUGCAGGAUGACUGCCCUAUGGGUUGUAAACUUCUUUUAUAUGGGGAUAAAAUGUUCCACGUGUGGGAUUUUGUAUGUACCAUAUGAAUAAGGAUCGGCUAACUCCGUGCCAGCAGCCGCGGUAAUACGGAGGAUCCGAGCGUUAUCCGGAUUUAUUGGGUUUAAAGGGUGCGUAGGUGGAUUGUUAAGUCAGUUGUGAAAGUUUGAGGCUCAACCGUAAAAUUGCAGUUGAAACUGGCAGUCUUGAGUAUAGUAGAGGUAGGCGGAAUGCGUGGUGUAGCGGUGAAAUGCUUAGAGAUCACGAAGAACUCCGAUUGCGAAGGCAGCUCACCGGACUGCAACUGACACUGAGGCUCGAAAGCGUGGGGAGCAAACAGGAUUAGAUACCCUAGUAGUC
rnacentral:rRNA from 1 species